rnacentral:rRNA from 1 species
AGAGUUUGAUCAUGGCUCAGGAUGAACGCUAGCGGCAGGCUUAAUACAUGCAAGUCGUGGGGCAGCACAGGUAGCAAUACUGGGUGGCGACCGGCAAACGGGUGCGGAACACGUACGCAACCUUCCUUUAAGCGGGGAAUAGCCCAGGGAAACUUGGAUUAAUACCCCAUAAGAUAAUCGGGUGGCAUCACCUGACUAUUAAAGCUCCGGCACUUAAAGAUGGGCGUGCGGCUGAUUAGGUAGUUGGCGGGGUAACGGCCCACCAAGCCGACGAUCAGUAACUGGUGUGAGAGCACGACCAGUCACACGGGCACUGAGACACGGGCCCGACUCCUACGGGAGGCAGCAGUAAGGAAUAUUGAUCAAUGGACGCAAGUCUGAACCAGCCAUGCCGCGUGGAGGAUGAAGGCCCUCUGGGUUGUAAACUUCUUUUAUUGGGGAAGAAGCCCAUCUUUUCUAAGGUGGUUGACGGUACCCAUUGAAUAAGCACCGGCUAACUCCGUGCCAGCAGCCGCGGUAAUACGGAGGGUGCAAGCGUUAUCCGGAUUCACUGGGUUUAAAGGGUGCGUAGGUGGGCAGGUAAGUCAGUGGUGAAAUCUCUAAGCUUAACUUAGAAACUGCCGUUGAUACUAUUUGUCUUGAAUAUAGCGGAGGUGAGCGGAAUAUGUCAUGUAGCGGUGAAAUGCUUAGAUAUGACAUAGAACACCCAUUGCGAAGGCAGCUCGCUACACUACGAUUGACACUGAGGCACGAAAGCGUGGGGAUCAAACAGGAUUAGAUACCCUGGUAGUCCACGCCCUAAACGAUGGAUACUCGACAUCAGCGAUACACUGUUGGUGUCUGAGCGAAAGCAUUAAGUAUCCCACCUGGGAAGUACGACCGCAAGGUUGAAACUCAAAGGAAUUGACGGGGGUCCGCACAGCGGUGGAGCAUGUGGUUUAAUUCGAUGAUACGCGAGGAACCUUACCUGGGCUAGAAUGCAGAUAGACAGAGGGUGAAAGCUUUUUUUUGUAGCAAUACACUUUUCUGUAAGGUGCUGC